UACGGAGGGGGCUAGCGUUGUUCGGAAUUACUGGGCGUAAAGCGCGCGUAGGCGGCUUUGUAAGUUAGAGGUGAAAGCCCGGAGCUCAACUCCGGAACUGCCUUUAAGACUGCAUCGCUAGAAUUGUGGAGAGGUGAGUGGAAUUCCGAGUGUAGAGGUGAAAUUCGUAGAUAUUCGGAAGAACACCAGUGGCGAAGGCGACUGACUGGACAUGUAUUGACGCUGAGGUGCGAAAGCGUGGGGAGCAAACAGG
rnacentral:rRNA from 1 species